UUUGAUUUCAUUGCUGAAACAUUUCAUAUUUCCUUACCAGGGAGGAAGGACAUUUUUAACAAUCACCUCAAGCAGUUAAAAAAGAUCUGGAUCUCCAGUUCAGUUGGACACAACCCUAACUUGUGCUGAGAAUCAAUAUGGAAGCUUGAGGGGCUGAUUGUUGAAGAAAAGCUGAAAAGAAAAAAUAUGUCAUUGAUUCUUGAAAACUUUUACCCAAGGGAAGCUCCUUCUUUGGAGUUCAAAGAAGAACCUAAGCUCUUUGAAAACUGUUCUUGAGAUCACUAGGAAGCUUCUCUGUUGGCCACAAGAAUUGCUCCAAAAAUUAAAACAAAAGGAUAUGAGAUGUCCACAUUUUCUGAUCACUUGGAUCAAUGCGCCAACAUCUUGGGCUGGAAUUUGGAGAAGCAGAUGGGAUAUGCAAGAGAGGUUCCUGGAAGAAACUGGUGGCAGGAUGGGGGUGGGUAGGCCAGCAGGCCAGGAAAAGAGAGACCCCAGGUGAAGGUGUCCUAUCUGGUGGUUACAGCCUCAGUCUGGUCACACUGGGGGCUCACACUGUGAUCCAAAGCUGCAGAUGGACUGAUUUGCAAGGGACCCAGGAGCCACUAGAGCAGUUCCCUGAAAGUAAGGGCCCUGGGCAUCAGGAGAUGUGUCCUGGCACACAGAGGCAUGGCUGGG
rnacentral:lncRNA from 1 species